AAAACAAAUCAGCUCAAAAUAUGUUCUGUCUCCUGCAGCCUGGGUCCCAGUGGCAACAGAUGCUGGAGAGGUGAGGCAUCCCCAUGCUGCUGCCCAAUUGGCUGUCCCCCAAGCUCCUUCUGUGGUGGCAAUUCUUUGAUCACACUGACACUUGCUCUGAAGAUAUCUACUCCACUCAAGGUGGCCUUCUCACCUCUGGAAGGAGGCCAGGAAAGCUGCAGUUUUCGCCUCAUAUCAGGUGUCUUGGCAGAAACUGAACCCAAGUCUGGAUGUAGCCUGAGGAGAAGAGAGCAUAGCUAGCCCAUCACUGCCCUUGUUCUGGGAUCCAGAAUCCAUUUGGAGUGGCCUCUUACAAGUACCUUUUGAGCAGCUGCAUCUACGUGGAGGUACAUGUGAGGCUGGCAGAGGCACCUCAGGGACUGGCUCUAAGAUGAAGACAGAUUGUUGGAGAACAGCGUCCCCGCUCCGUGUCUCCGCCCGCCCCCCACACCCACAGACCUCAGUGGUUGCCCAGUUCCCUGGUCUCCUGAGAGGGCUGCUAAUGAAGGGGAAGAGCCAUUUACAAACCUGAGCCGAUGCAAACUACUCUGGCUCCCACUGGAGAAGCCAUAAGUGGCUUGUGUCAGCUGGGUGGCCUUACAGAAAACCCAAUCUCAUAAUCGAAGUCUGUAAUUCAGUCUCAAUUACCAUGGUGUCCUACCGCACCAGCCAGCUGCAAAGUUUGUCCUGCGUUUGGUGAAUUACCCAUCUCCCUCCAAAGAGCCACAAUAAAGGAAUUUGACACCAUUUACCAUAUGUUGCCUCUUUUUUUUUUUCCCUUUUGCUGAGAAAUGAUUUCUAAAUUGCACCCACUCAUUUGUCCUGCAACCUUGAGGACCCAGCCAGAUCCCAAAGAGGGAAGCAGUGGCAAAAAUUCUCAUGCUGAGAGAUGAAGAACUUUGCACCCAAGCAAGUGUCCCAGUGACCAGAAUGGAGUUGGGUGGGUAUAUUCAUCUCACUCCCUGACUAAUGAGCAGUCUGUUAGGUGUCUGGAGACUUUGAACUUCGGCUGAUUUUCUUGGGUUGGUGGUUCUUUGAAAAGGACAGGAUCAUAAUUUUGGCUUCAGUAGGCAAUGAGACAGAUGUUAAAUGUGGUUUUUGUUCGAUAUUUUCUCAGAGGGGUUGGGCAGCACCAUGUUAUGCACUAGGAUCUUAGGAAAACCUUGCGUAUUCCUCUUCCCUCUCAACCUGACUCAUUUCUCCAAAGGGUCAGGAGUAUAUCAGACCUGAAGCUAGAUACAAAAACAAAAACAAAAAAACCCACAGGAUGUAUCAAGUUUAGCUUACUAGAUCUUAAGGGAGAAAGCAUGCACUCAGGACUCAGAGGU